UACGGAGGGUGCGAGCGUUGUCCGGAAUCACUGGGCGUAAAGGGCGCGUAGGCGGCCUGAUAAGUAGGGGGUGAAAUCCUGCGGCUUAACCGCAGGGCUGCCUUCUAAACUGUCAGGCUGGAGCACAGUAGAGGCAGGUGGAAUUCCCGGUGUAGCGGUGAAAUGCGUAGAUAUUGGGAGGAACACCAGUGGCGAAGGCGGCUCACUGGACCGGAACUGACGCUGAGGCGCGAAAGCGUGGGGAGCAAACGGG
rnacentral:rRNA from 1 species